AUAGUAUAUCUGCCGGUAACGGCCACGCACACAUGAGCAAGCGAGCUGGAAAGCGGGGAUUACUAUUAGGGCUAGUUUGGAAACCUCAUUUUUUAAAUGGUUUUUAUUUUUCUAAGAAAAAUUAGUUAAUUUUUUUUUAUAAAAAAUAGAAAUCCUUUGGAAAAUUGUGGUUCUUAAACUAGCCCUAAGAAAUCCCUUGGAAAAAUAAAUUAAUUUCACUUAAGAAAAUAAUAAUUCCUUAGAAAAUUGGGGUUCCUAAACUAUCCCUUUCUGUGGCAAAUCGCCAAGUGGAUGGCGUUUAAGGCUGUCUCGUGCAGAUAUGAUCGUUCCAAAUACAGCUUCCGUGAACGUAGGAUCUUAGUCUGGAAGAAAAGGGGUUGUUUCCCGUGUAAGAACGGCCAAUUUGCUUCUUCUUUUUUGAAGUAAAUUAGUGUAGGGUUUUGCCCUACAGUUUUUAUAUAUUAUUUGUCUUUUUAUAUAUUAUUUGCCAACGCCGCCUGCUGCCAGCGACCCCGAGAUGGCGAGCAGAAGCGAGGGCCUAGCUAGCUUCUCGCUGCUGCACACGCGUUGCAAGUUUGCGAGUUGCGACGCCGACAGGCCUGUGCGAGAUGGUGGGGGAAAAAAGCAUCGGGCAACUACUCUCAGCUGGCAAUUCGUUUCGCAUUUUUUAAGGACAAAAGAGGGCCCUUCAUCUAUAUAGUCUGUAGGGGUGUAAUCGGAUCGGAUACGGACGGAUAUCAAUGAAAUCAUAUUUAU
rnacentral:lncRNA from 7 species